UACGUAGGGAGCAAGCGUUGUCCGGAAUCAUUGGGCGUAAAGCGCGCGUAGGUGGCCCUGUAAGUCCGUUGUGAAAGUCAAAGGCUCAACCUUUGAAAGCCGAUGGAUACUGCAGGGCUAGAGUACGGAAGAGGCGAGUGGAAUUCCUGGUGUAGCGGUGGAAUGCGCAGAUAUCAGGAGGAACACCAAUAGCGAAGGCAGCUCGCUGGGACGUUACUGACGCUGAGACGCGAAAGCGUGGGGAGCAAACAGG
rnacentral:rRNA from 1 species